GCGGACGUGGCGAAAUCGGUAGACGCAGCGGACUUAAAAUCCGCCUCCCCCUGGGAAUAUGGGUUCAAGUCCCAUCGUCCGCA
rfam:Sphingobium sp. AP49 PMI04_contig56.56, whole genome shotgun sequence.